CCGGCUCGCAAGCUUACAAUCUUGAGGGAAUGGGGUGACAAACAUAAGACACAGAGAAAGGGUGAGAGGUAGUGUGGUGGUUGUAUCAAUGACAAUGAAUGGGUUUUGAGAUGUUUCUUGAAUGUUGGGAGGGUGAAUGCUGAAGGUUCGGUGGAAGUAGAUUCCAGAGAUAUGGGGCAGCACAAGUGAAAUCGUGUAGACGGGAAAA